rnacentral:sRNA from 1 species
GCUGGGCAUAGUGGUGCACACCUGUAAUCCCAGCGACUUGGGAGGCUGAGGCAGGAGGAUCACAAGUUCAAGGCCAGCCUCAGCAACUUAGUGAGAUGCUGUCUCAA